AAAUAUAACGGGGCUAAAGUAAGUACCGAAGCUGUAGACUUGAUUUUAUCAAGUGGUAGGAGAGCGUUCUAUUUGCGCCGAAGGUAUACCGGUAAGGAGUGCUGGAGCGAAUAGAAGUGAGCAUGCAGGCAUGAGUAGCGAUAAUUAAUGUGAGAAUCAUUAACGCCGUAAACCCAAGGUUUCCUACGCGAUGCUCGUCAUCGUAGGGUUAGUCGGGUCCUAAGUCGAGUCCGAAAGGGGUAGACGAUGGCAAAUUGGUUAAUAUUCCAAUACCAACAUUAGUGUGCGAUGGAAGGACGCUUAGGGCUAAGCAAGCUAGCGGAUGGAAGUGCUAGUCUAAGGUCGUAGGAGGUUAUAUAGGCAAAUCCGUAUAACAAUACUCCGAGAACUGAAAGGCUCUUCAAAGUCUUCGGACAGCGAGGAGAAUUGCUGAUGCCGUCGAGCCAAGAAAAGUUUCUAAGUUUAGCUAAUGUUGCCCGUACCGUAAACCGACACAGGUGGGUGGGAUGAGUAUUCUAAGGCGCGUGGAAGAACUCUCUUUAAGGAACUCUGCAAAAUAGCACCGUAUCUUCGGUAUAAGGUGUGGUUCGCUUCGUAUUAGGAUUUACUCCGAAAGCGAAGAAACUUACAACAAAGAGUCCCUCCCGACUGUUUACCAAAAACACAGCACUCUGCUAACUCGUAAGAGGAUGUAUAGGGUGUGACGCCUGCCCGGUGCUCGAAGGUUAAUUGAUGGGGUUAGCAUUAGCGAAGCUCUUGAUCGAAGCCCGAGUAAACGGCGGCCGUAACUAUAACGGUCCUAAGGUAGCGAAAUUCCUUGUCGGUUAAAUACCGACCUGCAUGAAUGGCGUAACGAGAUGGGAGCUGUCUCAAAGAGGGAUCCAGUGAAAUUGUAGUGGAGGUGAAAAUUCCUCCUACCCGCGGCAAGACGGAAAGACCCCGUGGACCUUUACUACAGCUUGACACUGCUAUUUGGAUAAGAAUGUGCAGGAUAGGUGGGAGGCUUUGAGUAUAUGACGCCAGUUGUAUAUGAGCCGUUGUUGAGAUACCACUCUUUCUUAUUUGGGUAGCUAACCAGCUUGAGUUAUCCUCAAGUGGGACAAUGUCUGGUGGGUAGUUUGACUGGGGCGGUCGCCUCCCAAAUAAUAACGGAGGCUUACAAAGGUUGGCUCAGAACGGUUGGAAAUCGUUCGUAGAGUAUAAAGGUAUAAGCCAGCUUAACUGCAAGACAUACAAGUCAAGCAGAGACGAAAGUCGGUCUUAGUGAUCCGGUGGUUCUGUGUGGAAGGGCCAUCGCUCAAAGGAUAAAAGGUACCCCGGGGAUAACAGGCUGAUCUCCCCCAAGAGCUCACAUCGACGGGGAGGUUUGGCACCUCGAUGUCGGCUCAUCGCAUCCUGGGGCUGGAGCAGGUCCCAAGGGUAUGGCUGUUCGCCAUUUAAAGCGGUACGCGAGCUGGGUUCAGAACGUCGUGAGACAGUUCGGUCCCUAUCUGCCGUGGGCGUAAGAAGAUUGAAGAGAUUUGACCCUAGUACGAGAGGACCGGGUUGAACAAACCACUGGUGUAGCUGUUGUUCUGCCAAGAGCAUCGCAGCGUAGCUAAGUUUGGAACGGAUAAACGCUGAAAGCAUCUAAGCGUGAAGCCAACUCUAAGAUGAAUCUUCUCUAAGCUCUCUAGAAGACUACUAGUUUGAUAGGCUGGGUGUGUAAUGGAUGAAAGUCCUUUAGCUGACCAGUACUAAUAGAGCGUUUGGCUUAUCUUAUUUAAGCAU
rnacentral:rRNA from 1 species